rnacentral:rRNA from 1 species
GACGAACGCUGGCGGCGUGCCUAAUACAUGCAAGUCGAGCGGAUUUAGGUGAAAAGCUUGCUUUUCACUCUAAGUUAGCGGCGGACGGGUGAGUAACACGUGGGCAACCUGCCUGUAAGACGGGGAUAACUCCGGGAAACCGGAGCUAAUACCCGAUACGACUAACCCUCGCAUGAGGGAAAGUAGAAAGAUUGCGUAUCGCUUACAGAUGGGCCCGCGGCGCAUUAGCUAGUUGGUGAGGUAAUGGCUCACCAAGGCGACGAUGCGUAGCCGACCUGAGAGGGUGAUCGGCCACACUGGGACUGAGACACGGCCCAGACUCCUACGGGAGGCAGCAGUAGGGAAUCUUCGGCAAUGGACGAAAGUCUGACCGAGCAACGCCGCGUGAGUGAAGACGGUCUUCGGAUUGUAAAGCUCUGUCAUGAGGGAAGAACGACCCGGAUGAGAUCCGGGAGUGACGGUACCUCAGG